CUUUCUGUAAGUAGGCCUUUCCCCUUUCCCCUCUUCUAGCCUCGGGCUCUAUGAUUUCUCUGAUCAUUCUUUGUAAUGCUCCUAUGUCAUUCAAAGCAUUGACGGGGGGAAGAUUUUGUCCCUGCUCUGGCUGAACGUAAUCAAACCUGGGCUCUGCCCUGUGUGGUCUGGGUGGAACUUCCUCCCUGUUUUCUUCCUGCUCUUCGACUUCUAGAUGAUUCCUCCAGUUUGCCCCCGGUCUAUUCCUGUCAUGAUUAGCAAAAAGGUUAUUCCCUCAUCGGCCUCUCCUCCCUCUUGCAGGUGGAGGGAAUGGAUUAGGGUCCAUCCUUCUGGGUCUAUAUGGCAAUACUGCCG
rnacentral:lncRNA from 1 species